rnacentral:tRNA from 1 species
GUUGGUGUAGCACAGUGGAUAGUGCAGCCGCCUCCUAAGCGGAAGAUCGGGUGUUCAAGUCACCUCACCAACG